rnacentral:lncRNA from 1 species
CCAAAAGGAAACUAUGACCACAACAAUUGGGCCAUAAUGCAAAUACAAAAACUUUUGGGGUCACUUUGAAAAAACACAAAAGUCCACAACUUCAUGUAAUUUCAACUAGAACCCAAAAUUUCAUUAAUGUAAAAACAUCAUUAAAGGAUCAAAACAAUUUGUCCUUUAGAGUUUUUAAGCCUAAACGUAAAAACGUGAACUUUUGGGCCAAAGUGCAAAUACACAAAAGUAUCAAAACUUUAUGUAAUUGCAUAAAAGACCCCAAAAGUAACCCCACUAGGGGGUGGCCGGUUUUUAGAGGUGUGAAUGAGUGUGAAAGGGUUUUAUGCAAGUUGUGCAUGCAUGUGCUAAAUGCAAGUGGAUUUUGGUGGGUGAGUUAUUGGUGAAAUUGAUGGUUUGUAAGAAAAAUUAAAGUUUAUGACAAAACAUUAAAACCAUUUCAUCACAUCUCACCAAUACCAUCAACCAUCAAAACAUAAACCAAAACUUUAUGAAAAACAUAAAACUUUUGAAUCAAAACUUCAAACCUUUUUGUUCUUGGCAAGAACUUCAAGAACAUUUGAAGAACACCAUGAAAACUCAUAAUAGCUCCAUGGAUGUUUUCAUUCACCAAAACUCAAUUUUUCACCUCUCAAAAGAGGGCUAAUAUCCUAGGGU